GCCUAAGAUGUUGUUUUCCCUGAGACAGCAGACACUUAAGCCCCCAGCCGGAUUCCCACCCAGCAACUGGAGCCAGCUUGGGAGAAGGUAGCUAACACAGGCAGGCCACUCAGGAAGGAAAUUUGGAAACAAGUGGAUAGAGGCCAAGCCCUGUCCUUGGGAACCAGAGAGGGAGAUGUGUUUAUCAGUUCCCAGGCAGGCUUCUUUCUGAAGGUCUGCCCAGGAAAAGGCCAAAUGCCCGCUCCUCCUGGUUAACUUUCUCUGGAGCAGUUUGUGUUCUGGAGAGAUACCGAGAUGAAUUCAGGCCCCUCCUCUCUGGCCCCUGGAGUUUACUCACAAACUGAGUUGGGGCUGGGUAAACUCACAUCCUCAGUCUAUAACCUUGACGGAGCCUGAGCUCUUGAUUCCAGUCCACACCAAUGGCAGCCUACAAGAGGACAAGGCCAGAGGUAUCCUUCCUUUGGGUUGGAACAUAAGAUAUCUAACUGUUGAGCCAGACAAGACCUUAUGAACAAGGGACGCAUCUCAGGACACACCCACAUAGAAAAUUAACCUGGAUCUCCCGAAGGCUUUGUAAAUCAGAACCACCUCCUUGCCCUGCACUUUCUACUUUCUUUGGAAUAUUUACGAGACAGAAAUAAACUGGAUUGUUGGAACA